rnacentral:rRNA from 1 species
UACGUAGGGGGCAAGCGUUGUCCGGAUUUAUUGGGCGUAAAGAGCGUGUAGGCGGCUUUACAGGUCCGUUGUGAAAACUGGAGGCUCAACCUUCAGACGUCGACCGAAACCAUCUGGCUAGAGUCCGGGAGAGGAGAGUGGAAUUCCUGGUGUAGCGGUGAAAUGCGCAGAUAUCAGGAAGAACACCCGUGGCGAAAGCGGCUCUCUGGAACGGUACUGGACGCUGAGACGCGAAAGCGUGGGGAGCGAACAGG